GUUUCNGCCGCCGCGGUAAUACGUAGGGCGCANGCGUUAAUCGGAAUUNCNGGGCGUAAAGCGUGCGCAGGCGGUUUUGUAAGUCUGUCGUGAAAUCCCCGGGCUCANCCUGGGAAUUGCGAUGGAGACUGCAAGGNUAGAAUCUGGCAGAGGGGGGUAGAAUUCCNCGUGUAGCAGUGAAAUGNGUAGAGAUGNGGGGGAACACCGAUGGNGAAGGCANCCCCCUGGGUCAAGAUUGACNCUCAUGCACGAAAGCGUGNGGAGCAAACAGGAUUAGAUACCCUGGUAGUCCACGCCCUAAACNAUGUCUACUAGUUGUCNGGUUUUAAUUAACUUGGUAACNCAGCUAACGCGUGAAGUAGACCGCCUGGGGAGUACGGUCGCAAGAUUAAAACUCAAAGGAAUUGACGGGGACCCGCACAAGCGGUGGAUGAUGUGGAUUAAUUCGAUGCAACGCGAAAAACCUUACCUACCCUUGACAUGUCAGGAAGACCGAAGAGAUUUGGUUGUGCCCGAAAGGGAACCUGNACACAGGUGCUGCAUGGCUGUCGUCAGCUCGNGUCGUGAGAUGUUGGGUUAAGUCCCGCAACGAGCGCANCCCUUGUCAUUAGNUGCUACGCAAGAGCACUCUAAUGAGACUGCCGGUGACAAACCGGAGGAAGGUGGGGAUGACGUCAAGUCCUCAUGGCCCUUAUGGGUAGGGCUUCACACGUCAUACAAUGGUACAUACAGAGGGCCGCCAACCCGCGAGGGGGAGCUAAUCCCAGAAAGUGUAUCGUAGUCCGGAUCGUAGUCUGCAACUCGACUACNUGAAGUUGGAAUCGCUAGUAAUCGCGGAUCAGCAUGCCGCGGUGAAUACGUUCCCGGGUCUUGUACACACCGCCCGUCAAAC
rnacentral:rRNA from 1 species